rnacentral:rRNA from 1 species
AGAGUUUGAUCCUGGCUCAGGACGACCGCCGGCGGCGUGCUUAACACAUGCAAGUCGUGGGGGGGUAGCAAUACCUCACCGGCGAACGGGUGCGUAACACGUGAGCAACCUACCGAUUUGAGGGGGAUAGCCGGCCCAACGGCCGGGUAAUACCGCAUACGCUCUUUGGGAGACAUCUCCUGGGGAGGAAACCUCCGGGGCAAAUCGCGGGGCUCGCGGCCUAUCAGCUAGUUGGUGCGGUAACGGCGCACCAAGGCGAUGACGGGUAGCUGGUCUGAGAGGAUGGCCAGCCACAUUGGGACUGAGAGACGGCCCAGACUCCUACGGGAGGCAGCAGUGGGGAAUCUUGCGCAAUGGUCGAAAGACUGACGCAGCGACGCCGCGUGCGGGAGGAAGCUCUUCGGGGUGUAGACCGCUGUUGCCCGGAACGAAACUCACCUUUCGAGGUGAUGACGGUACCGGUAGAAGCCCCG